rnacentral:tRNA from 1 species
GGGCGUUUAGCUCAGUUGGUUCAGAGCGUUCGCCUCACACGCGAAAGGUCGUAGGUUCAAGUCCUACAAUGCCCA